rnacentral:SRP_RNA from 1 species
GCUGGGCAUGGUGGUGCAUGCCUGUAAUCCCAUCUACUUGGGAGGCUGAGGCAUGCGGAUUGCUUGAACCCAGGAGGUAGGGGUUGCAGUGAGCAGAGAUCAUGUCACUGCACUACAGCCUGGGUGAUACAGGGAGACUGUGUCUCAA